GUGUCAUUGAAGACAUUUUGUUGGUUUCGUCUUUCUUGAUUCUAGCUCGUCUUGCCUAGGGUUUGAAGGUAAACUAUUAGGAUUUACCCGGAAGAGGUAGCCGUCUGAGGUUCGUUUAACCCCUUCCGUGGUGGCUUCACCAGAGCGGAGAAAGAUUAAGUCUUCAAUGACACGCCAUGAACCCUAAGUAUUUCUUUCUUGCAUAUAUCUCGCGAACCGCCACCUUCACCUUCAUCCCUUGAUCCCUUUUUUUGAUUUGCCAGGUCGAAUCGUGAGUCGUCAGGAUCACCCUUUUUUGUGCAUUUCUCUAUUCGUUUCAAAUGCUUCUUGUUUCAGAUAAGGAAGCAUCAUAGUUUUUCUCUCUUUUUUUUUGGAGAAUAGUGAUGAACCAUCGAUUAUUAUCCGCCCUUUUUCUUGUCCCCUCCACCUUUUAUCCACUAUCUGGAAUGAUACUGUAAAAGAAGACUGUCAGCAAGGAGCUUCUUUUUGCUUGUUAUUUCUCCGGCCCUACAAGUUACUUUCGGCAGAUGAUGACUCUUUCUCACUUGCUAACCACUCCUCGUGGUCCAGCCACUCAUUUGAUCCUCUGUCAUUUGUGGUUGAAGAUUGAUGGAAAGACCGACCAUUAAAGAACGCGUUCUUUAUUGUUUUUUCCCCCAAUGGAGUUCAUUGUGAUCCAGUGUUUAAACAUGGUGAAGACUCUAGCAUGCAGAGAGCUAAAUUGACUCUUGAAAGGAUGUUAGUAUGAUUUGGUUUGCUUCUUGUCUCAUAAAUUUACCAGAAAUGUGCCAUACAAGGGACAUGCAAGAUACAUAUUUGUUUCUAUAAAGAAUUUGUUCAUGUUUCUUGGAUUAUGGAAUCAAAUGUGGGUGGUAAUUGCCCGAUCCAAGGCUUAAGUGCAUAGAGGUGAUUGAGACAGAAGAGGUGAAGACCACGCAAUCAAAAGCAUGUAGGUCUAUCUCCCAGGCAAAUAUGACUGCAGAAGACACCACCAUAUCAAAGUGUCACUUCUGCAUAUGUUGUAACUCUCUAAUACCCAGUUCAUGUCUCUCUAGCACCACAAAGAGAGGAGGAAUACUCUAUCUAAGAUCGGGUGGAACUGGAUGGUGCUGAGUAAGUUUUCAUGUGAAGUUGACACCCCACCUUGAUGGUGAAUAAAAUUCUGUGUGCAGUUGGAAGAGAAGCAAUCCGGCUUAGGCUUCGAUUAGAGAUCUCUGCCUCUGGAGCCCUGCUGAGCAAAGCCCAAAGUUACCUUCUGGGGGUCAGGUUGGUGUUAAGCAGGAAAUGUACCGAGGUACAAGAGAAGCUGGUGGGUGGUGAUCUUUGGGGUACUAUCGCCCUCGGGAUUUGCUCUGCACGAUACUGAAUGAGACCGUCACUCACGCAUAGCUGCACCCACCCAUUGAACACUGUUCGCACACUCUUAUUACGAGAACAGUGGCUUGCUUUCUAAUAUGUAUAUGCUCCCUUGAAGAUCACUUUGGGCAAAGCAAAAAUUCUAACAUAACUGAAGUUGUAAAUUCUAAGUUGAUGUGUGAACGUGCAGAUCGACAGCAAUGAUAUCUGCCACUUGGAU